GGAGAGUUCAUCCUGGCUGAAGGACAGUCAACCAUUUUCGGUGGUGUUGCAAGACUGCCGACACACGUGGGCAGUUUUUUGCAUUAUGGUUUAGCAUCCUUCACCAUGUCUCAACAUUCACACCUGGACUAUGGGAAGGUGCAAACACAGGCACCUUGAAUCGGAUCAAAUGCGGGUAAAGAUGUGGAUCCAGAGAGACUCCCAGUGCCACAAAGCUUUAGUGGAUAUAGUUCUCGAUAAGAGGUGGCAGAAAGAUGUUCACAACAAUCUGCGAUUCAGAUUGACUGCAGACCUAGAGUCAUUCCAGAAUCAUAUCCUGAUGUGUGCCAGCAAGCGCUAUGCUUUCAGCCCCCCAGUUUAUGAGGAAAGAGUUCUGCUUGCUGCUUUGGACUGCAAUUUCCACCGGAACCGACCAACAAUGAAAACGUUGGACGGCAAAGAGACUUUCAGAAGAUUGUAUAAGAAGAACGGUAUGCCUUGAAAUCUGAAAAAACCCACGGAUACAUUUCCGAGUUGCAAAGAAGGAUUGUGAAGAACAGACUCACAAGUGGAGUGGGGAUGCCUAGAAGGAGGAGCCUUCUCCCAGAUGACCCCAGACAGCUUGGUUUGGUGCCCUCCGUACCUGCACCAGCCACAUCAGACUUGUUGCAGAGACAAGUCAGAAGAGGUCUAGGUAUGUUACACAA